UGGGGUCGCGAUCACCCCACGAGGCGCCAUGCUGAAGAAUCGC
rnacentral:ncRNA from 2 species